GCCUUUGUGGUGAAAUGAUAAACACACUCGGCGCUUAUUCGAGAGGUCCAGGUUCGAAUCCCGACGAGGGCA
rnacentral:tRNA from 1 species